CCUACGGGGUGCAGCAGUGAGGAAUAUUUGUCAAUGGACGCAAGUCUGAACCAGCCAUGCCGCGUGCAGGAAGACGGCUCUAUGAGUUGUAAACUGCUUUUGUACGAGGGUAAACGCAGAUACGCGUAUCUGUCUGAAAGUAUCGUACGAAUAAGGAUCGGCUAACUCCGUGCCAGCAGCCGCGGUAAUACGGAGGAUUCAAGCGUUAUCCGGAUUUAUUGGGUUUAAAGGGUGCGUAGGCGGUAGGAUAAGUUAGAGGUGAAAUCCCGAGGCUCAACUUCGGAAUUGCCUCUGAUACGGUGCGGCUAGAGAGUAGUUGCGGUAGGCGGAAUGUAUGGUGUAGCGGUGAAAUGCUUAGAGAUCAUACAGAACACCGAUUGCGAAGGCAGCUUACCAAGCUACUUCUGACGUUGAGGCACGAAAGCGUGGGGAGCAAACAGGAUUAGAUACCCUGGUAGUC
rnacentral:rRNA from 1 species